rnacentral:tRNA from 1 species
CGGUGGUGUAGCGGUUUAACAUAUCGGCCUGUCACGCCGAAGAUCACGGGUUCAAAUCCCGUCCG